rnacentral:misc_RNA from 1 species
CGAAGGAAUUUAGCGGGCAGUGCGAGCAACCAUACGUGCCCUGCUCGAUACCUCCGAUCCUCGCCCCCCUUUUCCUUUCUUUCCGCUGCAUCCCCCAGCACAGUCGCUCCCACGCGAAACGAGCGAGGCCGGCAGCACAGCGGGAGGGUGUGCAGCGACGACACGCUCGCAGAGAGCGCUUCGAGGCGUUGCCCUUGCUCUACGCGUCGCUUGGUGUGCCGGCGAGAAAGAGCGGCCCACAAGUUUGCCGUUACAAUUAUCCAUCGCAGCAGCGCUUGCCAAGUCUUGCAAUGGUACUUCCGUCAGUGCUACGGGGCAGCGGCGGUGGUGGUGGCCGCGGCUCAGUCUCGGGCCACACUUUGGAGACGUCUCUCGUCGGCAGUCUCCCAGAUAUCGCUGGGAGCGACCUUGCUGAUAGCACCCUCGGCGCCUCGUCCCCGACAGAGGAAGUGUUGCGCAGCAGCCUUGACCUCCUCGCCAAACAUCUGCGACAAACCCAAGCGCGGGAGACGCGGCAACGCACGCUCCUCGUGGAGGAGGCCCUGGUGCACUUCACCGACAUUAUCCGCCGUCACGUCGCUUACCUGGAUAUUGCGGCAUCCUGCGCCUUCCUGCAAGCCACACGAAACGCCCAAGCACAGGCCGAGGCGCAGCAAGCUCAGCAGUGGCAGCUGCAGAUUUUGCAGGACGCGCUGCGUGACACCAUGGCCGAGGAGGAGAAGCGCCGCAAAGCACAUGAGCAGGCGGAGUUGUCGGUGCGCAGGUCACUGGCGCAGCUGCAACGUGCCGAAGUGUACCCAGUGCUGCUGCACGAGGCCUUUUUUCGGCUUACGCACGCCGAACACGUGCGGCGCUCCUUUCUGCACCGGGAGGAGGCACGCGCGGUGGAGGCGAUGGGGAUUCCGUCCUUCAUCUCGCUUCCUUGCCGAUCGGCGCCUCAUGAUGCUCCGUUUGGGUUCGGCGGUGGCGGCAAGGCAGACCCCAAGCAGGGUGCCGUGGAACUGAGCAAGCUCGACUUGAUGGCCGACCAGCGGUGCCCGUUUCGGUGUGCGGCAGACUGCCCAUACAUGCCACAGCGUACUCGGCAACUGGGCAAGCGCUGGGCGGCUGUAGUGGCCAGCGGCGAGGACACUCGUGCCACUGCGGCCUCGCUCCGACUCGGCCGUCGCACAGUCUCUCCAUCCCCCGUUUCCCGGCCGUCGCAGCGGUGGCGAGUGGCUGGACUAGGGAUCACGGAGGUGGGCAAGCAGCGCGUGCGCAACGCGAUGGCGAUGGGACACUACAGUGCCACUGCCGAGUUUCUGCCUGCAUUGCGCUUGUAGUCGCACCUGAUGCGGCGUAGUGAUGGGGGUGAGCGGUGCGUCGCGCGUGCUAAUUCCGCAGUGAACGGUGGUGGGCCGCAGGAACUCUACCCCCUGCGCCUCCGGGGUUUGGGCGAUGCUGGGGUGUGGCGGUGCUGUCGUCUGCUCUCUUGUCUGUCCAUUUGUUCUUGUGCCUCCUUCGGUUCCGUGCCACCCCCCUCCCCCCCACACAAAACUUUUUUGCAGCGCUGCUCUUUUUUUUAUUUUGGUGAUUUUCAGCUUG